ACGCUGGCGGCAGGCUUAACACAUGCAAGUCGAACGGUAACAGGGAUUAGCUUGCUAAUUUGCUGACGAGUGGCGGACGGGUGAGUAAUGCUUGGGAAUCUGGCUUAUGGAGGGGGAUAACUACGGGAAACUGUAGCUAAUACCGCGUAAUAUCGGAAGAUUAAAGGGUGGGACUUUCGAGCCACCUGCCAUAAGAUGAGCCCAAGUGGGAUUAGGUAGUUGGUUAGGUAAAGGCUGACCAAGCCGACGAUCUCUAGCUGGUCUGAGAGGAUGACCAGCCACACUGGAACUGAGACAUGGUCCAGACUCCUACGGGAGGCAGCAGUGGGGAAUAUUGCACAAUGGGGGGAACCCUGAUGCAGCCAUGCCGCGUGAAUGAAGAAGGCCUUCGGGUUGUAAAGUUCUUUCGGUGACGAGGAAGGUUGAUAGGUUAAUAGCCUAUCAAAUUGACGUUAAUCACAGAAGAAGCACCGGCUAACUCCGUGCCAGCAGCCGCGGUAAUACGGGGGGUGCGAGCGUUAAUCGGAAUAACUGGGCGUAAAGGGCACGCAGGCGGUGACUUAAGUGAGAUGUGAAAGCCCCGAGCUUAACUUGGGAAUUGCAUUUCAUACUGGGUCGCUAGAGUACUUUAGGGAGGGGUAGAAUUCCACGUGUAGCGGUGAAAUGCGUAGAGAUGUGGAGGAAUACCGAAGGCGAAGGCAGCCCUUUGGGAAUGUACUGACGCUCAUGUGCGAAAGCGUGGGGAGCAAACAGGAUUAGAUACCCUGGUAGUCCACGCUGUAAACGAUGUCGAUUUGGGGAUUGGGCUUUGAGCUUGGUGCCCGUAGCUAACGUGAUAAAUCGACCGCCUGGGGAGUACGGCCGCAAGGUUAAAACUCAAAUGAAUUGACGGGGGCCCGCACAAGCGGUGGAGCAUGUGGUUUAAUUCGAU
rnacentral:rRNA from 1 species